GGAAACCUAGGCUUUCUACUCUCUCAGCCGAAACCUCUGGCCGGCGGCUUCCUUCUCUCUCAGCCGCCUGGGAGAUGUGGCACUGCCGACCGCACCUCCCUCUCCCUUUUUUUUUGUUCCUGCCGCUCACUUUCGUUCGGCCGCCAGGAAGCACCAGCGGCUGGCUCUGGCCGACUGCGCCCUGCACAGAGCCACACAGCCGCCCACUCUCUGUUUGCUUUCUGUCUUUUUUAUUCGUUUCUACUUGCCGCAUGGACAUUUCUGCAUGCACUUGGCUGCAUGGCCAUCUCUGUCAUGAUUUUCUCCCUUUUUUUAUUCGAUCCCCACUUCACGUGAUGUAUGCUUGUAAGAAAUGAAUAAUAUGUAAUGGGAAUCGAGAUUUGGAGGGUUUUGAAGCA